GGGCCAACCCCGAGACUGCCCUUGGAACUGCAUGGCUGGAGUGCGGGAGGGGCAGGCGGAAUUCCUGGUGUAGCGGUGAAAUGCGUAGAUAUUAGGAGGAACACCAGUGGCGAAGGCGGCCUGCUGGACUGUAACUGACGUUGAGGCUCGAAGGCGUGGGGAGCAAACAGG
rnacentral:rRNA from 1 species